CCUACGGGUGGCAGCAGUGGGGAAUAUUGCACAAUGGGGGAAACCCUGAUGCAGCGACGCCGCGUGAGUGAAGAAGUAAUUCGUUAUGUAAAGCUCUAUCAGCAGGGAAGAAAAUGACGGUACCUGAGUAAGAAGCCCCGGCUAACUACGUGCCAGCAGCCGCGGUAAUACGUAGGGGGCAAGCGUUAUCCGGAUUUACUGGGUGUAAAGGGGGCGUAGACGGCAGUGCAAGUCUGGAGUGAAAGGCUGGGGCUCAACCCCCGGACUGCUCUGGAAACUGUACGGCUGGAGUGCAGGAGAGGUAAGUGGAAUUCCUGGUGUAGCGGUGAAAUGCGUAGAUAUUAGGAGGAACACCAGUGGCGAAGGCGGCUUACUGGACUGUAACUGACGUUGAGGCUCGAAAGCGUGGGGAGCAAACAGGAUUAGAUACCCGGGUAGUC
rnacentral:rRNA from 1 species